rnacentral:rRNA from 1 species
CGGCACCCACCCUCGGGUGGAAGCGAGUGGCGAACGGCUGAGUAACACGUGGAGAACCCGCCCCCUCCCUCCGGGAUAGCCUCGGGAAACCGUGGGUAAUACCGGAUGACCCCGCAGGGCCGCAUGGCCCCGCGGGCAAAGCCCAGACGGGAGGGGAUGGCUCCGCGGCCCAUCAGGUAGACGGCGGGGUGACGGCCCACCGUGCCGACGACGGGUAGCCGGGUUGAGAGACCGACCGGCCAGAUUGGGACUGAGACACGGCCCAG